rnacentral:lncRNA from 1 species
CCUCAUAUCUUCUAUCUUGAAAUAUUUGUGUUGUUUUAAAAUCAUUUGACUUGUCAUAUUUUUAUCUUAUUUUCUCCCAACAAGAUUAAAAAUUCUGAGGUGAAGUUUUUUAUUGAUACAUGAUAAUUUGUACAUAUUAAUGGAGUAUGUGUGAUUUUUUUGGUUUUUUUUGUUUUUGUUUUUGUUGGAAUCUCGCUCUAU